rnacentral:lncRNA from 1 species
UUUUAUGGAAUACUGAAGGCCAGAAAGUGAAGAGUACAUGGUAGAGGACAAGAAGGGAAGAGGAAGAUCACUUAGUAGACUCAUUCAUUCAACAGUCCAGUCCUUCUUCAAAUGGCAAGAAAGACCAGGGGAAAUAAUGAGCUUGGAUUUUCAAAGGCUGCUUUCUACACCAAGUAUGUGCACUGGGAGUCUUUUGUAUUUUGGCUGUAGAGCAGAUAAUCUCAGCAGCAGCUAG